rnacentral:rRNA from 1 species
CUUGACAUCCAGAGAACUUGGCAGAGAUGCCUUGGUGCCUUCGGGAACUCUGAGACAGGUGCUGCAUGGCUGUCGUCAGCUCGUGUUGUGAAAUGUUGGGUUAAGUCCGCAACGAGCGCAACCCCUAUCCUUUGUUGCCAGCGAUUCGGUCGGGAACUCAAAGGAGACUGCCGGUGAUAAACCGGAGGAAGGUGGGGAUGACGUCAAGUCAUCAUGGCCCUUACGAGUAGGGCUACACACGUGCUACAAUGGCGCAUACAAAGAGAAGCGACCUCGCGAGAGCAAGCGGACCUCAUAAAGUGCGUCGUAGUCCGGAUCGGAGUCUGCAACUCGACUCCGUGAAGUCGGAAUCGCUAGUAAUCGUAGAUCAGAAUGCUACGGUGAAUACGUUCCCGGGCCUUGUACACACCGCCCGUCACACCAUGGGAGUGGGUUGCAAAAGAAGUAGAUAGCUUAACCUUCGGGAGGGCGUUUACCACUUUGUGAUUCAUGACUGGGGUGAAGUCGUAACAAGGUAAGCGUAGACGU